UACAGAGGGUGCAAGCGUUAAUCGGAAUUACUGGGCGUAAAGCGUGCGUAGACGGUUACAUAAGUCGGGUGUGAAAGCCCCGGGCUCAACCUGGGAAUUGCAUUCGAGACUGCGUAGCUAGGGUGCGGAAGAGGGAAGCGGAAUUUACGGUGUAGCGGUGAAAUGCGUAGAUAUCGUAAGGAAGACCAGUGGCGAAGGCGGGUCUCUGGACAGUUCCUGACGCUGAGGCACGAAGGUCAGGGGAGCAAACGGGG
rnacentral:rRNA from 1 species